GUCUUCGAGGCGGGGCGAAAUUCCCCACCGGCGGUCAAAGUCCGCAAGCGGCAUUCGUAUGCCGCACGAUCCGGUGAAAUUCCGGAACCGACGGUCACAGUCCGGAUGAGAGAAGAA
rnacentral:ncRNA from 1 species